rnacentral:rRNA from 1 species
AACGAACGCUGGCGGCAGGCUUAACACAUGCAAGUCGAACGCCCCGCAAGGGGAGUGGCAGACGGGUGAGUAACGCGUGGGAACGUGCCCUUCGCUUCGGAAUAGCCCCGGGAAACUGGGAGUAAUACCGGAUACGCCGUAUUGGGAAAGAUUUAUCGGCGAAGGAUCGGCCCGCGUUGGAUUAGGUAGUUGGCGGUGUAAUGGACCACCAAGCCUACGAUCCAUAGCUGGUCUGAGAGGAUGAUCAGCCACACUGGGACUGAGACACGGCCCAGACUCCUACGGGAGGCAGCAGUGGGGAAUCUUGGACAAUGGGCGCAAGCCUGAUCCAGCCAUGCCGCGUGAGUGAAGAAGGCCUUAGGGUUGUAAAACUCUUUCGCCGGAGAAGAUAAUGACGGUAUCCGGAGAAGAAGCCCCGGCUAACUUCGUGCCAGCCGCCGCGGUAACAC